rnacentral:rRNA from 1 species
CCUACGGGUGGCAGCAGUGAGGAAUAUUGGUCAAUGGGCGGAAGCCUGAACCAGCCAAGUAGCGUGCGGGAUGAAGGCCCUACGGGUCGUAAACCUCUUUUGCACGGGGAUAACACCCUCCACUUGUGGAGGUCUGCAGGUACCUGGCGAAAAAGGGCCGGCUAAUUCCGUGCCAGCAGCCGCGGUAAUACGGAAGGCCCGAGCGUUAUCCGGAUUCAUUGGGCUUAAAGGGAGCGUAGGCGGGCGUUCAAGUCAGCUGUAAAAUCGCGCGGCUCAACCGCGCCCCGCAGUUGAAACUGGGAGUCUUGAGUUGACGACAGGCAGGCGGAAUGCGUGGUGUAGCGGUGAAAUGCAUAGAUAUCACGAAGAACCCCGAUUGCGAAGGCAGUAUGCCGG